UGCCCGGACUCCUACGGGAGGCUGCAGCAACCAAUAUUGGACUAAUGCGCGACAGCGUGAUCCAGCAAUGCCGCGUGCGGGAUGAAGCCCCUCGGGGUGUAAACCGCUGUCAGGGUCUAGAAACACAAUGAUCGGACCCAGAGGAAGAGACGGCUAACUCUGUGCCAGCAUGCCGUGGUAAUACAGAGGUCUCGAGCGUUAAUCGGAACUCAUUGGGCUUAACGGGUGCUCAUGCGGUGCCCGCCAGUGCUUUGUGAAAUACCACGGCUCAACCGUGGAAUUGCUCGGCAUACUGCGGGCCUUGAUGGCGGCAGAGGUCGUCGGAACUCUAGGUGUAGCGGUGAAAUGCGUAGAUAUCUAGAGGAACGCCUAUGGAGAAGUCAGACGACUGGGCCGUACCUGACGCUUCAGGCACGAAAGCCUGGGGAGCAAACGGGAAUUAGAUACCCCGGUAAGUCCACGCCCUAGACGAUGUGCAAUAGAUCCGGGAGGUUCGGACACCAUCCGGCUUGAAGCAAAAGUGAUAAGUGCACCGCCUGGGGAGUACGUUAGCAAGGCUAAAACUCAAAGACAUUGACGGGGGCUCACACAAGCGGUGGAGCAUGUGGCUUAAUUUGAAGCAACCGCGAAGAACCUUAUCCAGGGUUUGACAUGCACGGAUAACGUUAGGAACCAGCGACCACAGUCCCUUUGGGUUGGAACGUGACACAGGUGAUGCAUGUCGGUAGUCAGCUCGUGCUGUGAAGUCUCAGGGUUAAGUCCCUUGACGAGCGGACUCCCUUCCGUCUAGUUACCAGCGGGUAAUGCCGGGAACUCUAGCGGGCCUGCCGGUGUCACUCCGGAGGAAGUUGGGGAUGACAUCAAGUCCUCAUGUCUUUUAUGUCGUGGACAGCACACGUCCUACAAUGGCGUUUACAGAGCGAAGCAA
rnacentral:rRNA from 1 species